rnacentral:rRNA from 1 species
AUGCCAAAGAGGAAAGGAGGACUGGGGUUUAGAGACCUUCACAGUUUUAAUCUUGCUUUAUUAGCAAAACAGUGUUGGCGUCUGAUCCAGAAUCCAGAAUCUUUGUGUGCUCGAGUUCGCAGUGCUAAAUACUAUCCAGAUGGAAACAUAUUGAAUGCAGGGCCGAAGAAGGGAUCCUCCUUUACGUGGCAGAGUAUCGUUGCUGGGAUUCAAACGUUCACACGAGGAUGUAUUUGAAGAGUGGGUACGGGAUCACAUAUAAACAUUUGGCAAGAUCCUUGGGUUCCAACAAGUGAGUCCCGGAAAAUCAUAACACCGCGGGGAUCCACUAUGUUGACAACAGUGGAAGAGUUAAUUGAUCCACAUACAGGUCAGUGGGAUGAGGUGUUGGUUCGCGAUGUCUUUUGGCCGGUCGAUGUGUACAGAAUCCUACAAAUCCCACUAAGAGUGCAUAUCAUGGAUGACUUUGUUUCAUGGCAUUAUAACCGGAAUGGAAACUUCACAGUUAGAUCGGCUUAUCACACAGAAUUUAAACAUCAAUUUGGGCAUCAGAUGGAUCUGUCUUAUCCACAACGGAGCCGAGAACAGGAUAUAUGAAAGCAUGUUUGGGCUCUUCGAGUACCUGGGAAGAUCAAGCACUUUGUGUGGAAAGUUAUCCGAGGAGUGCUACCAUGUUUUGGAACCCUUGCAGGGCGUCAUAUACCAGUAUCCGGGCAGUGUCCGGUCUGCCGGAUUGGUUAUGAAGACACGCAACAUUGUUUAUUCCAAUGUCCUUGAGCCUUGGAGAUCUGGGAGAAACUCGGCUUAAAACUGAGAUUCAAAACGCAGCUCUACAGGACAGUCGGGUUCAUUCACGAUGAGCACUCUAAUGUAUAA